rnacentral:sRNA from 1 species
CUGCGCGCGCGCCGUUUCUGGCGGAUCCCCAGUGCGCUGCGCGCUGUUUACACCGGCGUGGUACUAGUCACCCAGCCGCACCCCUCGGAAAGCGCGGAAUCGGUGACAGCCACUUCACAGGCUCACGCGCUCCCACUGUGGGCUUGAGGGGGACGGGGACCGAUUACCAAAGGAGAGCGCUUACUACGGAAGACACAGGGCAGCCUUUGUCUUGGGUUUAGCGCUGAUACGCUCAACCCUGAGUCGGGUUCACUGCAACUGUUGGGUCCGAUUUCGGUUCCCUGCAACCGCCCUCCUGCGCGACAGAUGUCAUUGUGUUCCUGCGGCCAGCGGGUCUGAAAGCUGGGACUUAAGACGCCAGGAGGGUCUUGCGCUCACGGGAAAUGUACCCAAAAGAACUCUGAGAGAAUAUACUCACUGUCCUGCUGUGAUUAAACAAGACUGCUGUAUUUUACCUGAGCUUGGCAAAGCAAGGAUAUGAACAAUUGUGCAGGUGGGCUACUCAGGGCGAGUGAAGAGAUAAGGCAUCCAAUCAGGGAUUGGCCACCUGCAGCCCUGCCAAUAUGCCCCUCCACCAGAUUU